rnacentral:rRNA from 1 species
UACGGAGGGAGCAAGCGUUACUCGGAAUUACUGGGCGUAAAGCGCGCGUAGGCGGCUUUGCAAGCCGGAUGUGAAAUCCCCGGGCUUAACCUGGGAACUGCAUUCGGGACUGCAUUGCUAGAGUAUGGGAGAGGGAAGUGGAAUUUCAGGUGUAGCGGUGAAAUGCGUAGAUAUCUGAAGGAACAUCAGUGGCGAAAGCGACUUCCUGGACCAAUACUGACGCUCAUGUGCGAAAGCGUGGGGAGCAAACAGG